rnacentral:rRNA from 1 species
GACAGAGGGUGCAAACGUUGUUCGGAAUUACUGGGCGUAAAGCGCGUGUAGGCGGCCCUGUAAGUCGGGUGUGAAAUCCCUCGGCUCAACCGAGGAAGUGCACUCGAAACUGCAGGGCUUGAGUCCCGGAGAGGGUAGUGGAAUUCUCGGUGUAGAGGUGAAAUUCGUAGAUGUUCGCAAGAACACCAGUGGCGAAGGCGGCUCACUGGCCCGAUACUGACGCUGAGGCACGAAAGCGUGGGGAGCAAACAGG